AGAGUUUGAUCCUGGCUCAGAACGAACGCUGGCGGCAUGCCUAACACAUGCAAGUCGAACGAUCUCUUCGGAGGUAGUGGCGGACGGGUGAGUAACGCGUGGGAACCUGCCCCGAGGUACGGAAUAACUCAUGGAAACGUGAGCUAAUACCGUAUGUGACCUGAGGGUGAAAGAUUUAUCGCCUUGGGAGGGGCCCGCGUCGGAUUAGGUAGUUGGUGGGGUAACGGCCUACCAAGCCUGCGAUCCGUAGCUGGUCUGAGAGGAUGAUCAGCCACACUGGAACUUAGACACGGUCCAGACUCCUACGGGAGGCAGCAGUGGGGAAUAUUGGACAAUGGGGGCAACCCUGAUCCAGCAAUGCCGCGUGCGUGAUGAAGGCCUUAGGGUUGUAAAGCGCUAUCGGCGGGGAAGAUGAUGACGGUACCCGCAGAAGAAGCCCCGGCUAACUCCGUGCCAGCAGCCGCGGUAAUUC
rnacentral:rRNA from 1 species